UUUAUCUUUUAUUUAAUUUCUAGACAAUGCAAUAUUAAAUGAUUUUUAAUCCCGACCGAAAAUCGGGGCAUUACAGCUGUGAAUGCCCUCACAGUGCAAGUAGCUCUCCCAGUGAGGUUCGCAGGUUACUGGCUGUGUUGGGUGGGCUCCACGAGCCAACAUUUUGAUGUGGUUCACGUGGCCUUGCGAAGACCCGAGAGGCAUAGCAGAGGUGGGGCCCGCGUCACAUGUAGUGCUCGGGGAAAUGUUUGUUUUGGAGCAACAAGUGUUAGCCACAAGUAAAAUCAACUUGAACAUGUGGCUCAUAGGAUUUUACCGUUGCAAUUAUCACCUCAUGAGCUAUCUCUACCCUGACAUGAUAAUCUACAAGGUUCUCAUGAGAACACAAAAGUUCAUCAUGUGUUUCUUGUAAAUCCAUAUACUUGUUAGUGAUCUCACCAAGUUUGGAAUUUGGAGCACAUAAAAAACCAAUGUCAUCUCGGUAACAUGUAUCGAUAUUGAUUUAUCUUGUAUUUAACCUUGUGUAGGUUGUAUUGUAUUCUCAUAGCAUUUAAGAAUUUACAUUCCUUGCAUAUGUGAAAGUCAUCAUUUAUGCAUUUUUGAGCAAGAUAGGUUGUGGCAUACGAGUGUUUAGUACUCAAUCAUAUUCAUGCAUAUCACAUCCCUCAUAUGUGCUCAAGUUGGCUAAGUGCUAGUUGGUAAUUUCAAAAUAAACCAUUUAGCCAAAAGUGAAAAUUUUGAACAAGUAUAGCUUUUCUAUGAGAAUAUAUUUGGAAAUGAUUUUAAAGUAUGUUUGAAAUGUCUCUCAAUACUUUUGUAUUUCAAAGAAGAGCUAAUUUUCAAAGAAAAUGAAUUCAACAAAAAUGUAGCUCUAAGUAUCUUGUUUUAGCUUUUAACUUAAAUGUUUUGUAUACUUAAUUCUAAAAGGAAUUUGUGAAUGGUUUCAAAAUGAAAAAGAUAGUUUGGCUAAUUCAAACAUUUUUGGUAUUCAAAAUUUCUCCAAGAAGCCAAUCAAUCAAAAGAAAUUUAAAUCUCAAUCUUAUCCAAAACAUUAUCUUGACCAUAAACGGCCACCUACUAGCACUUAGAUGAGUUCUCAUUGUUGGGUUGCAUAAAUGCAUCAUUCUAGCUCAAAUGGGUACAUAAGAUUCAUUCAUACUCAUUUCUCUCCAAAACCAUCUCAUUUGCUUCUUUUCGCUUUUUUAGAGAAAGGUAUUUGAGAAGAGAGCUUUUGUAGUCUUUUGUAAAAAAAAAUGGCCUUUACUAUCAAAUCUUGAAUUCAUGGAGCAAAAAUGAGGGAUGCAUCAAUGGGGAGCAAUCUGAAUCAAAUCCAUAUUCCUCUUGCUCUCAAAUUUGAAUUUUCCGAAAAGUUGCAUCUAUAGUCUUUCAAAAGAGCCUAUUUUGGUCAAAAGUCAAAAAUCUUAUUUAAAUAGCCCAAAUUUGUGAAAAUCCUUUCAAAAGUAUCCUAAUAUGUAUUUCAAAUGUUUUGCAAGGCUUUUGAAGUAAAAAUUUUCAUUUGUGAAACAAAAUAGCAAAAUUGGUCUCAAUAGUAUCUUUUAUGAUCUUGUUUUUGCUCAAAAUGAUCUAUCUCCCUAAAUCAAAAUCUAUUGCAUUUUUUAAAAUAUUUCUAAUAUAAAAGUUUGAGGGUUGGUCAUUCCAAACAUUUCUCUAAUUCAAAGUUUCCCCAAAAGACCAAUUAUUCAAACUCUAUAACCUUUUGAGUUUCAGCCAAAACCUUGACUUGACCAUUUUUGCCAAAACUUGCAUAUGGUGUGUUAAGCCUUUUGAGCCAAAGUUCUUUGUGAGUCUUGGCUUAGAAGUGUUUCUAUAACCCUCCUAAGGUCUUACAAAUGUCAAACUCCACAGAUUUAAAAUUUGAAUGUGAUUUGAACUCUCAACUCAAAUUUUAUCAAUCUAAAGGCCUACAAUGCUCCUUUUGUAUUUUCUUUUGAUAGAAAAAAGAUUUUUAAGAAAUUCUUUUUGGAAAAGUUACUCACAAGUAUAAAGAUCAUAACUGCACGGCUUCAACUCAUUUGGAUUUGAUUUGAAAUUAUUUUGACUUUUUCUCUUUUUGCUCAGCUUACUGAAAUUUUCAGAACAAGGGCUGAUUUGUGAUUUUUGUAUCUCCAAAUAGAUUGCAAAUUUGGAAGAGAUCACCAUAUGACUUUUGUUCCUCUGUAGUUGAGCUCGAUUGCCAAAUUUACCCAGAAUAGUUAGAGGUCAUUUGGGUGCUUUUUCAAUGUUGUUUUAUAAGCUAAUAUGGAGUUAUCAAAAAUCUGAAAAAUCUGAAACUUCCAGUUUAUUGAAACUUUGAGAUGUUUUUAUCUAUAAAUGGGAUGCAAACUAGAAGUAACUUACAUAACAACUUUUGAUCCUCAAUAGUUGAAGUUUACUUCCAAAUUUACUCAAAAUUUUCAGUGGUCAUUUGGAUGCCUUUUCAACCUCCUUUUCAGUCUCAAAAGUCUGAAAAAAAUCAGAAUGUUUUAGUUGGCUGAAAGAUUUUGAGCUUCAUUUCUACAUUUCGGUUGAGAUCUAGGAAAUGGUCCCAAAAUAAAACUUGUGUAUUCUUUCAUGAUCUAGCUCCAGAAUUUAUGGCAUAUUUUUUUGAUCUCGUUUCCACAUGUUUCCAUUGCCAAAAGUUGCCACCUUUGCUAUAUGCUUUUCAGCAAAACAUGGAUUCAAGUGCAUAUCACUUCUUGUUGAUUAUUUGAGCAUGGUGGUGAAAUAUAAGAUAUUUCAAGUAAUGAGACCUUUCUUUUUAGAAAAACUUCAUGAAUUCUUGAACUCUUUUGGAUGUGUUCCUUGCUUGAACUCUUUUGGUUUUUGAAAUGCCCAUGAUAUAUGAAUCCACCGAAACUCAAAAGUCAUUUUUAUACUUUUCAGAACCAAGCCUCCAUGGGUAGACUCCAAAUUCUAAUCUUUGCCACCAAAUACAAGUUGAUCCUUGCUAUCAAAGCCAACUACCAUUUCUUGAUUCCAAAUUUACACUUGCAUACACAAGUAGUGUCCAUAUAAAAUGGUAGUAUCUUUUGAUCAUCUUGAACUCGGUAUUUACUAAUCUUUGUCAUUCCAUUACCGGGAUUACACACUUGACCAAAAAUCUCUCAAGUAUCUUUGAUCAAACUCCUCUCACAGAGAAAAUAAUUGAUGAGUACAUUUCGAGAGAAAGUUCAAAUGCUCACAAUCACUCCCUCCUACAAAUAAAAUCCAUUCUAAUUCUUCUUAUCUAAGUGACAAGACUCCGAGAGUAAGGGGGAGCAUUUCUUACAUGGAUCUUUUCUCAAAUUUUUGCUUUGCACUUUCAUCUAAUUUUUUUAUUUGGUCUUAUGAAUGUUUGUUCUUGUUUUGCUUGAGCAAAAUUGUUUCUCUUUCGGUUCCAUGCAAAUCUUUUUGUGAUUAAUGCCAAAAGGGGGAGAAUAUUUGAGGAUCCCAUGUUUGAUAUGAUCGUUGAUAUACAGGGGGAAAAUAUUCUAGGAUCCCACAAUUGGUGCAUAUCAUCACUUAUCAAAGCAUCCAGCAUGCACUAUAUGCACAAGCAUCGCAUGCAUAGCAUACAACAUGCACCAUAUGCACAAGCAUCACAUGCAUGGAUAUAAAUCAAUUGCCAUUUUCUCAUAUCAUGUUGAUAUCAUGUUAAUUUAUAUCAUUGAUUUCACCCUUCAUAUCCAAAUGUGGUCAUUAUUAAUGGAUUUGUCGUAAAUCACCAAAAAGGGGGAGAUUGAAAGUUCAAGUGCCAUUAAUUUGGUUUUGGUGAUUAAUGACAAAUCCAAUUACACGAGACUAACAUUGUUAUAAGCAUAUCUUUAUCUACUAGUCUCAUAUAUGAAUAUAUGAAAGUGGAAUACAUUAGUGAGAUAAGAGAACAAACACCACCAGCCGACAUUUCUGCUCCUCAAAGAACUCCAUCACCUCCAGCACAUCCCACUUACAAACCGAGGAAAAAGAAGCUAGCUUCCAAGAAACCAAGAGCACUAGCCCCAUCGCCUCCUCGUUCUCCAACUCCUAUUCCUCAUGAAUCAAGCGAACGCACUCCAUCAGCUGCAGGUAGCCAUCAUGUGGAGGAAGAAGUAGCACCAGCCCCUGCCAUCCCUGUAGUUUAUGGAUGAAGAGGAAGAAACUACAAGUAAAGCCUUGGUGCCUCUAGCCGAUAAUGUGAAAACAACCUUGCUGGAUAUCUCAAAGUGGCUUGAAGGCUCCCUAGAAACUCUGGUGGUCAGUUGUGGAUCAAUCAGAGAUAGAUUCCUUGUAAUCUACGACCAACUCCCAGAUGAACUAGCCGAUGUUAUCACCCCAGCGGCAUACCUCGAACAGCAUCAGCUCAAGCUUGAAAAGGCUAAACAAAGGGUUGCUGAUCGCCGUGAAAGAAAAGAUCUUGAGGCCACCAUCCAGGCUAGUAGGACUUCUAUUAAUGAAGAAAAGGCAAAACUUGAUGAGUUGGAAGCUGGUCCAAGGUCCACUCAAGCCAACAUAGAUCGGCUGAAUACUCGGAAGAUAGAACUCCUAGCCGAAUUGGAGCAGUGCAAUGCACAUAUUGCUAUUGAAGAACAUAAACUUGCCGAUCUGCCCAAAGCUACUGAGGAUCAGAGAUCAUAGCUCAAAUCUUCUGUCAAACAUCUAGCUGAUCUAAUCAAGUCCCUGAAAGUAAUUCUUGGAUCUGAUGCAGUCGAUACCCAGAUCAUUGAUGAGGUAGAACAGAUUAGGCAACGAAUUAUAUCGGCUAUCCAAAAAUAUGUAUGUGGAUGAGCUAAACAUGUAACAUGUGAAUGUAUUUAGUUUGUUACCAAACAUUGUUAAUGCCUAGAGA